rnacentral:rRNA from 1 species
UGAGACCUGAUGCCGAGCCGAUUGUGGUGAAGUGGAUGAUCCUAUGCUGUCGAGAAAAGCCUCUAGCGAGUUUCAUGGCGGCCCGUACCCUAAACCGACUCAGGUGGUCAGGUAGAGAAUACCGAGGCGUUCGGGUGAACUAUGGUUAAGGAACUCGGCAAAAUGCCCCCGUAACUUCGGGAGAAGGGGGGCCACACUCGGUGAUGGGAUUUACUCCCUGAGCUGGGGGUGGCCGCAGAGACCAGCGAGAAGCGACUGUUUACUAAAAACACAGGUCCGUGCGAAGCCGUAAGGCGAUGUAUACGGACUGACGCCUGCCCGGUGCUGGAACGUUAAGGGGACCGGUUAGCUCCAUUUCGGUGGGGCGAAGCUGAGAACUUAAGCGCCAGUAAACGGCGGUGGUAACUAUAACCAUCCUAAGGUAGCGAAAUUCCUUGUCGGGUAAGUUCCGACCUGCACGAAUGGCGUAACGACUUCUCGACUGUCUCAACCAUAGGCCCGGUGAAAUUGCACUACGAGUAAAGAUGCUCGUUUCGCGCAGCAGGACGGAAAGACCCCGGGACCUUUACUACAGUUUGAUAUUGGUGUUCGGUUCGGCUUGUGUAGGAUAGCUGGGAGACUUUGAAGCUCAUACGCCAGUGUGGGUGGAGUCGUCGUUGAAAUACCAGUCUGGUCGUGCUGGAUGUCUAACCUGGGUCCGUGAUCCGGAUCAGGGACAGUGUCUGAUGGGUAGUUUAACUGGGGCGGUUGCCUCCUAAAGGGUAACGGAGGCGCCCAAAGGUUCCCUCAGCCUGGUUGGUAAUCAGGUGUUGAGUGUAAGUGCACAAGGGAGCUUGACUGUGAGACCGACGGGUCGAGCAGGGACGAAAGUCGGGACUAGUGAUCCGGCGGUGGCUUGUGGAAGCGCCGUCGCUCAACGGAUAAAAGGUACCCCGGGGAUAACAGGCUGAUCUUCCCCAAGAGUCCAUAUCGACGGGAUGGUUUGGCACCUCGAUGUCGGCUCGUCGCAUCCUGGGGCUGGAGUCGGUCCCAAGGGUUGGGCUGUUCGCCCAUUAAAGCGGUACGCGAGCUGGGUUUAGAACGUCGUGAGACAGUUCGGUCCCUAUCCGCUGUGCGCGUAGGAGUCUUGAGAAGGGCUGUCCCUAGUACGAGAGGACCGGGACGGACGAACCUCUGGUGUGCCAGUUGUUCUGCCAAGGGCAUGGCUGGUUGGCUACGUUCGGGAGGGAUAACCGCUGAAAGCAUCUAAGCGGGAAGCCUGCUUCGAGAUGAGGACUCCCACCCACUUGAUGGGGUAAGGCUCCCAGUAGACGACUGGGUUGAUAGGCCGGAUCUGGAAGCCAGGUAACUGGUGGAGGUGACCGGUACUAAUAGGCCGAGGGCUUGUCCUC